rnacentral:rRNA from 1 species
UACGUAGGGGGCAAGCGUUGUCCGGAAUCAUUGGGCGUAAAGCGCGUGUAGGCGGCCAUCCAAGUCUGGUGUGAAAGCUCGGGGCUCAACCCCGAGUCUGCACUGGAAACUGGAUGGCUUGAGUCCGGAAGAGGAGACUGGAAUUCCUGGUGUAGCGGUGAAAUGCGCAGAUAUCAGGAAGAACACCGGUGGCGAAGGCGGGUCUCUGGGACGGUACUGACGCUGAGACGCGAAAGCGUGGGGAGCAAACAGGAUUAGAAACCCUUGUAGUCC